rnacentral:rRNA from 1 species
AGUGAACGCUGGCGGUAGGCCUAACACAUGCAAGUCGAACGGCAGCACAGUAAGAGCUUGCUCUUACGGGUGGCGAGUGGCGGACGGGUGAGGAAUACAUCGGAAUCUACUUUUUCGUGGGGGAUAACGUAGGGAAACUUACGCUAAUACCGCAUACGACCUACGGGUGAAAGCAGGGGAUCUUCGGACCUUGCGCGAUUGAAUGAGCCGAUGGCGGAUUAGCUAGUUGGCGGGGUAAAGGCCCACCAAGGCGACGAUCCGUAGCUGGUCUGAGAGGAUGAUCAGCCACACUGGAACUGAGACACGGUCCAGACUCCUACGGGAGGCAGCAGUGGGGAAUAUUGGACAAUGGGCGCAAGCCUGAUCCAGCCAUACCGCGUGGGUGAAGAAGGCCUUCGGGUUGUAAAGCCCUUUUGUUGGGAAAGAAAAGCAGCAGGUUAAUACCCCGCUGUUCUGACGGUACCCAAAGAAUAAGCACCGGCUAACUUCGUG